AUGAGCAGGUCAGGGAAAAAGUGUUCCUCUCAGCUUUGUAAACAUUUGUAUGAGUAUUUCUUGGUUUUAACGGUUGUGUAUUUGAACAAUGUAGCUAUGGAGAGUAUCAUGUAAUUUUGCAUCUAUGAUUUACAAAGCUGACGGAACUGUUAUUCUACAAUCAAUAUUUACUUUAUGUUUGGAAAUUUGCAUUUUAAUGUGGUUCAUAUUAUUCUAAUGCGAACUUUUUGUUGUUUUAGCUUGGAGCAAAUGCCAUAUUGGCAGUCUCUCUUGCAGUCUCCAUAGAGCUGGUGCUGCUGUCCUAAAAGUUCCUCUUUAUAAGGUUCAGGAUCCACACGGAAUUAAAUACAAUGGAACAAUUCAAGGUCUAAAAUAUAUAUGGAGAACUUAAGGUUUUCAUGGGCUGUUUAUAGGAAAUGAUGUGUGCAACUUGAGGUGCAAUAUCAACAAAAGGGGAUGAUAUUUAUUAUAUUAUGCUAAAUAACCUUUGCUGCUAGCUAUGGGAUUCACCACUGAAGAAUUAGAAUGAGAUCAUGUUGUUAAAGAGGCAUUUGCUUAGUUGAUUAUAACUGACUAACUGUUAUAUAAUUUUAAUUUUAAUUUGAAGUUUCCUUAAUCAAGUGGCCCAUACAUAUGCACGGGUUUUAAAUUCACAUGAACACCAUGGUAUUUUGGUGUUAAUCUCCAUUUCCCUGUUAAUCAGCUUUAUCAUUUUGA